rnacentral:rRNA from 1 species
GACGAACGCUGGCGGCGUGCUUAACACAUGCAAGUCGAGCGGUAAGGCCCUUUCGGGGUACACGAGCGGCGAACGGGUGAGUAACACGUGGGUGACCUGCCCUCAGCUCUGGGAUAAGCCUGGGAAACUGGGUCUAAUACCGGAUAUGACUCCAUGACGCAUGUUGUGGGGUGGAAAGCCUUGUGCGGCUGAGGAUGGGCCCGCGGCCUAUCAGCUUGUUGGUGGGGUGAUGGCCUACCAAGGCGACGACGGGUAGCCGGCCUGAGAGGGCGACCGGCCACACUGGGACUGAGACACGGCCCAGACUCCUACGGGAGGCAGCAGUGGGGAAUCUUGCGCAAUGGGCGAAAG